rnacentral:rRNA from 1 species
ACGGGAGGCAGCAGUGGGGAAUAUUGGACAAUGGGGGAAAGUCUGACGGAGCGACGCCGCGUGGAUGAUGAAGGCCGGAAGGUUGUAAAAUCCUUUUAUAACUGAGGAAUAAGUAAGGUGAGAGAAACGCCUUAUGGUGACUGUAGGUUAUGAAUAAGCAACGGCUAAUUACGUGCCAGCAGCCGCGGUAACACGUAAGUUGCGAGCGUUGUUCGGAAUUAUUGGGCGUAAAGGGCAUGUAGGCGGUUUUGCAAGCUUGGUGUGAAAUCCCGGAGCUUAACUCCGGAAUUGCGUUGAGAACUGCAUAACUAGAGUCACUGAGGGGCAAUCAGAAUUCCUGGUGUAGGGGUGAAAUCUGUAGAUAUCAGGAAGAAUACCAAUGGCGAAGGCAGGUUACCAGCAGAUGACUGACGCUGAGGUGCGAAGGUGCGGGGAGCAAACAGGAUUAGAUACCCUGGUA